AAACUUUCAACAACGGAUCUCUUGGUUCUCGCAUCGAUGAAGAGCGCAGCGAAAUGCGAUAAUUAAUGUGAAUUGCAGAUUUUCGUGAAUCAUCGAGUUCUUGAACGCACAUUGCGCCCUCUGGGAUUCCGGAGGGCAUGUCUGUUUGAGCGUCAUU
rnacentral:rRNA from 1 species